rnacentral:lncRNA from 1 species
GGAGAUCUUAAUGGAAGAGUGAGUGAAGGAGAUGGAGUUCGGCAAACCUGGGCCACUCUUUGCUUGAUGUACUCCCAUUUUUGCAUCAUCCACCUUUAAUGUUAGUUGUUGGGCUGGUUCCAUUUAUUUUGUGCACCCCCAUUAUAAUAUCUGUUGGUUGUAUUGUGCGUUGCAGCCCACCCGUUCUUAGGUUUACACUGUGGGCAUUGAUGCCUCCACCUCCCC